CUUCCAGUAGCACCUUAGAGACCAACUAAGUUUGUUAUUGGUAUGCACACGAAAGCUCAUACCAGACUUUGUUGGUCUCUAUGGUGCUACUGGAAG